rnacentral:rRNA from 1 species
GACGAACGCUGGCGGCGUGCUUAACACAUGCAAGUCGAACGAAGUGGCGAACGGGUGAGUAACGCGUAAUCAACCUGCCCUUCAGAGGGGGACAACAGUUGGAAACGACUGCUCAUACCGCAUACUGAAGGAGGGGAUUGCGUCUGAUUAGCUAGUAGGAGGGGUAACGGCCCCCCAAGGCGAUGAUCAGUAGACGGUCUGGGAGGAGGAACGGCCACAUUGGGACUGAGACACGGCCCAGACUCCUACGGGAGGCAGCAGUGGGGAAGCUUCCGCAAUGGACGAAAGUCUGACGGAGCAACGCCGCGUGAGUGAUGACGGCCUUCGGGUUGUAAAGCUCUGUUAAUCGGGACGCGGUACCGGAAUAGAAAGCCACGGCUAACUACGUGCCAGCAGCCGCGGUAAUUC